AUUGAACGCUGGCGGCAGGCCUAACACAUGCAAGUCGAGCGAGCGGCGGACGGGUGAGUAAUGUAUGGGGACUGCCCGAUAGAGGGGGAUAACUACUGGAAACGGUAGCUAAUACCGCAUACUAUCGGAUAACCCAUAUGGGAUUAGCUAGUAGGUGAGGUAAUGGCUCACCUAGGGGACGAUCCCUAGCUGGUCUGAGAGGAUGAUCAGCAACACUGUGACGGAGACACGGCCCAGACUCCUACGGAGGAAGCAGGGGGAAAUAUUGCACAAUGGGGGAAAGCCGGAUGCAGCAAUGCCGCGUGUAUGAAGAAGGCCCUGGGGUUGAAAAGUACUUUCAGUCGGGAGGCGUUACCGACAGAAGAAGAACCGGCUAACUCCGUGCCAGCGGCCGCGGUAAUA
rnacentral:rRNA from 1 species